rnacentral:sRNA from 1 species
GCCAGGAAAUGAUUAAGAACUCUAUUUAGAGCCCAGAACAGAGUUGUUGUUUAUCCUGAAUAAUAACAGUGAAAAUUUGAUAUCAUUUUACCAUGGAAAUUCCUAGGCGCUAAUUGUGGACUUUGUAUAUUCUUUCAGGAUGUUCAGCAUGCUGAUAUUGAUUAUAUGGAUGAGAGAAGGGACUUCACUUACGAUCCAGUGGAUUUUAAAGGCUUCCCUGAAUUUGUCAACGAGUUACACAAUAAUGGACAGAAGCUUGUCAUCAUUGUGGAUCCAGCCAUCUCCAACAACUCUUCCUCAAGUAAACCCUAUGGCCCAUAUGACAGGGGUUCAGAUAUGAAGAUAUGGGUGAAUAGUUCGGGUGGAGUGACUCCACUCAUUGGGGAGGUCUGGCCUGGACAAACUGUGUUUCCUGAUUAUACCAAUCCCAACUGUGCUGUUUGGUGGACAAAGGAAUUUGAGCUUUUUCACAAUCAAGUGGAGUUUGAUGGAAUCUGGAUUG